GGUUUCAUAGUGCAGUAGUCAUCACGUCUGCUUUGCCCGCAGAAGGUCCUGGGUUCAAUCCCCAGUGGAACCA